UUGAUUCAUUUAUAAACCUGGACGCUGAGGGCUCCACUGGAAAAAAGGGUCUGGUGGUCCUCCGGCGGGCGCCUGGGUCCGGGCCGCGGGGGGCGCCGGGGCGGUCCCGCCGAGGCAACGGGUUUCUCGGUUCACAUGGGGUUUGGGAGUCUUGGAACUCGGUAAUGAUCCCUCCGCUGGUUCACCAACGGAGA
rnacentral:misc_RNA from 1 species